AAUCAGUGUGUGUGUUAGUGGAAGCGUCUGGAAAGGCGCGCGAUACAGGGUGACAGCCCCGUACACAAAAAUGCACAUACUGUGAGCUCGAUGAGUAGGGCGGGACACGUGGUAUCCUGUCUGAAUAUGGGGGGACCAUCCUCCAAGGCUAAAUACUCCUGACUGACCGAUAGUGAACCAGUACCGUGAGGGAAAGGCGAAAAGAACCCCGGCGAGGGGAGUGAAAAAGAACCUGAAACCGUGUACGUACAAGCAGUGGGAGCACGCUUAGGCGUGUGACUGCGUACCUUUUGUAUAAUGGGUCAGCGACUUAUAUUCUGUAGCAAGGUUAACCGAAUAGGGGAGCCGAAGGGAAACCGAGUCUUAACUGGGCGUUAAGUUGCAGGGUAUAGACCCGAAACCCGGUGAUCUAGCCAUGGGCAGGUUGAAGGUUGGGUAACACUAACUGGAGGACCGAACCGACUAAUGUUGAAAAAUUAGCGGAUGACUUGUGGCUGGGGGUGAAAGGCCAAUCAAACCGGGAGAUAGCUGGUUCUCCCCGAAAGCUAUUUAGGUAGCGCCUCGUGAAUUCAUCUCCGGGGGUAGAGCACUGUUUCGGCAAGGGGGUCAUCCCGACUUACCAACCCGAUGCAAACUGCGAAUACCGGAGAAUGUUAUCACGGGAGACACACGGCGGGUGCUAACGUCCGUCGUGAAGAGGGAAACAACCCAGACCGCCAGCUAAGGUCCCAAAGUCAUGGUUAAGUGGGAAACGAUGUGGGAAGGCCCAGACAGCCAGGAUGUUGGCUUAGAAGCAGCCAUCAUUUAAAGAAAGCGUAAUAGCUCACUGGUCGAGUCGGCCUGCGCGGAAGAUGUAACGGGGCUAAACCAUGCACCGAAGCUGCGGCAGCGACGCUUAUGCGUUGUUGGGUAGGGGAGCGUUCUGUAAGCCUGUGAAGGUGUACUGUGAGGUAUGCUGGAGGUAUCAGAAGUGCGAAUGCUGACAUAAGUAACGAUAAAGCGGGUGAAAAGCCCGCUCGCCGGAAGACCAAGGGUUCCUGUCCAACGUUAAUCGGGGCAGGGUGAGUCGACCCCUAAGGCGAGGCCGAAAGGCGUAGUCGAUGGGAAACAGGUUAAUAUUCCUGUACUUGGUGUUACUGCGAAGGGGGGACGGAGAAGGCUAUGUUGGCCGGGCGACGGUUGUCCCGGUUUAAGCGUGUAGGCUGGUUUUCCAGGCAAAUCCGGAAAAUCAAGGCUGAGGCGUGAUGACGAGGCACUACGGUGCUGAAGCAACAAAUGCCCUGCUUCCAGGAAAAGCCUCUAAGCAUCAGGUAACAUCAAAUCGUACCCCAAACCGACACAGGUGGUCAGGUAGAGAAUACCAAGGCGCUUGAGAGAACUCGGGUGAAGGAACUAGGCAAAAUGGUGCCGUAACUUCGGGAGAAGGCACGCUGAUAUGUAGGUGAAGUCCCUCGCGGAUGGAGCUGAAAUCAGUCGAAGAUACCAGCUGGCUGCAACUGUUUAUUAAAAACACAGCACUGUGCAAACACGAAAGUGGACGUAUACGGUGUGACGCCUGCCCGGUGC
rnacentral:rRNA from 1 species